CAGGCUCUCAGCACUGCAACACCCGCCUGCAGACUGCGUUUGUAUUCACGAGCAAGGAGUUCUGCAGGGUCCUAGUACGGAACAGGCAACUUCUCUACCACUGUUCCCAGCCGUGGACGGGAGCUGUUAGCUUUUAGAAACAAGCAGGGCGGACUGGGCUGAGGGCACGAGGAGACAUAAAAACUCAACAGAGGCCAAAGGAAAAGGCGGUUCAAAACGAAGCGAGGAAUGGACCAGCCCGGAGGGAAGGCCCUCGCCGGCAUCUCAGGACAGUCCCCAUCUGCCUCCGUCUGCGGGCAUCUGACUUCGCUCUCAACUCAGAUGGUGAAGAAGACCCCGACCACUGCAGAGCAGGCUACCGCCCCCCUCUCUGCACCCCAAUAGAAGCCUGCGCCCUUAACACAUCACGGGAAUAGUUAACUGCUUCAUCCUGCAGCAUCUGCCUUUCUGGCUAGAAUGCAAGCGUCACGUGACCGGGCUCUAUGGCGUCUCGUGCUCACUGCUCCAUCGCCAAUGCCUUUCGUAUAUAGUAGGUGCUCACUGAAAUUCUUUGAAAGAACAAGUGAGUGAACACAUAUGCUUGUCAGCAAGUGUGUGCGCGCACACACACAGAGUGCCCGUCUCCGCCUAUGUGCAUAAACCCAGGCAGCCUUUCAAAAGGGAAAAUCCGAAAUAAUUAUUAAAUGCGACACGCUCAUUUUGAUUUUCCCUUCUCCGAAUGUCCUCUCUUUCUCCAAUCAUGCGUAAGUACCUAACCGGUACCCAUCUUUGCCACUUGCGUCUUUGUAACAGAGCCGAGAAGCUUUCCAAGGAAAGGAAAGACGCUCCCUUAUUGGAAAAGUGGGUGGCGGGGGGAAUCCAUGCCUUGCCUGGCUGGAAGGAGGUCUCUGUGAGCACGGCCAAGACACAGGCCACGAGAGGGGAUGGGGGCCAGCG